rnacentral:rRNA from 1 species
AACGAACGCUGGCGGCAGGCUUAACACAUGCAAGUCGAGCGCGUAGCAAUACGAGCGGCAGACGGGUGAGUAACGCGUGGGAAUCUACCGUACCCUACGGAAUAACGCAUGGAAACGUGUGAUAAUACCGUAUACGCCCUAAGGGGGAAAGAUUUAUCGGGGUAUGAUGAGCCCGCGUUGGAUUAGCUAGUUGGUGGGGUAAAGGCCUACCAAGGCGACGAUCCAUAGCUGGGCUGAGAGGAUGAUCAGCCACAUUGGGACUGAGACACGGCCCAAACUCCUACGGGGGGCAGCAGUGGGGAAUAUUGGACAAUGGGCGCAAGCCUGAUCCAGCCAUGCCGCGGGAGUGAUGAAGGCCUUAGGGUUGGAAAGCUCUUUCACCGGUGAAGAUGAUUACGGUAACCGGAGAAGAAGCCCCGGCUAUCUUCGUGCCAGCCGCCGCAGUAAAAC